rfam:Struthio camelus australis contig78964, whole genome shotgun sequence.
UCAUAGGCUUUUUUAAAAGCCACCGAAAAUUGAUGAAUGUUUGGUUU